CCCGCCAUUAUACCAGUCUGUUUCAGUGGCUGAGGAAUAGUCCAGUGGAGGCUGAGAUGAACCCUGCUUUAUGGAAACAGGUUUGCCCGACUAGUGGGCAACUCUGUGCCGAAAAGCUAGGAACACAU